rnacentral:rRNA from 1 species
UACGUAGGCGGACAUUUAAGUCAGGGGUGAAAUCCCGGGGCUCAACCCCGGAACUGCCUUUGAUACUGGGUGUCUGGAGGUCGAGAGAGGUGAGUGGAAUUCCGAGUGUAGAGGUGAAAUUCGUAGAUAUUCGGAGGAACACCAGUGGCGAAGGCGGCUCACUGGCUCGAUACUGACGCUGAGGUGCGAAAGCGUGGGGAGCAAACA